rnacentral:rRNA from 1 species
UACGAAGGGGACUAGCGUUGUUCGGAUUUACUGGGCGUAAAGCGCGUGUAGGCGGCCCGGUAAGUCCGCUGUGAAAGUCCAGGGCUCAACCCUGGGAUGCCGGUGGAUACUGUCGGGCUCGAGUCCGGAAGAGGCGAGUGGAAUUCCUGGUGUAGCGGUGAAAGUGACGCCAGAUAUCAGGAGGAACACCAAUGGCGAAGGCAGCUCGCUGGGACGUGACUGACGCUGAGACGCGAAAGCGUGGGGAGCAAACAGG